GUUAUGAUUCUAGUAAAUAUUCAGUUAUCUUUAAGUUGAUCCGUAAUAUAUUCAACAGUAUCAUGAGAGCAUAAUUUUUUUGAUGAUGCGUCCAAUGUUUCUAUCAGUUCAUCCUAGCAACAGAGCCAAGUUUAGAGUUAUUGCUGCCUGGGUUAUAACAGCUGGCCCUGGGAAUCUUGUCUGAACAGCAAGCUAACUGCUGUUCACAGUAAUAUCUGGUCUUUCCCACCCCCAAACAUACACAAAAGAUUUUUGUCAUUCUUGGCAUUGGGCAGUAGAAGUAGCAAGACAUGCCAGCAGAACUCUAAAGGCAGAAUGUCCUUCCACCUGUUUUAUGCUGUAAGACAGACUUCCAAGAGCGAGGCGGUGUAGAGGGCUGUUUCCGUGAAUGGCAGCUGAAUGCACCAGCGGGGUCCUUGGCAGCGAUGCCCGGGCACUGAAGCCGGGCAUUCAGGAGAGCUAAAUGGAGAAAAGAAACUUGAGCAAACCGCUUCCUGGAACACUGAGAACCUGAAUGGGAAAUUAAGAAGUACCAGAUUCUUUCUAUUCUUACACCAGCCAAGCCUGUCAGUUUCAUCAGUUUCGUCCUCAAGCUGGCUUCAUGAUGGUUGUAAGACGGCUGCUAUCAGACCAUGUUCUACAUGCAGAUGCAAACGAAGGUGAUGAAGAGCAACAAGAACAACUGCAAGGAACACAUUUUUCCAGCCUGUUCCUGAUGGCACACCACAGAGGACAAUGGGUCCAGUGUGCCAAGCAGGCUGGGGAACUCAGAGCUAGAUGAAGAGCAAGGGAAAGAGGCUGCCAAAGCUCAAACUCAGAGAAUGAACGUCCUACCAGGAGGUUGCAGGGGAUAUCCUUUUUGUGAAAGAUUCUGUCCUGGGUUUAAAGGAUCUCUCGGCUGCUGGGUUGAGAAUAGACGCUGGAGGCCGAGGGCGGAGGCAGGGAAACCAGUUAGGAGACUACCGCAGUGAUCCCGGUGAGAGACGAUGCACGUGACGUCCUCGCCUCGGCGCCUGGCAUGGAGCCCGCUCUGGAUGAGGGCCCAUUAGCAUCCUGUCAUGACCCGGAUCCACACUCACAUACCCGGCAAAGGAAGAUCACGGAUUUGUUCUCUGUUCUGCAUCUUUCUCAGCCAUCCUUCUACUACCAUCAUCGUCCCCUUCCUUAAUCACUCUCUUCCCCCGUUCUCCUCUUUUUGUGUCCUCACCCUGUUGUCUUGGUUUUGUUACUCUCAUGAAUAGUUUGCUUUUCCAGGGCACAGUUUGGGGGGUUUAACUGGAAUCUUGGGGAGAGAGUAGCGAGCCUUUUGGCAUGCAGUCCCCAGGGUCAUAUUCCACAGGACGCUUGAGGAGGACAAGGGAGCAGAAGAGGGGGCCUGGCGUGGAAGGCCAGAGAGGUGGCUCUGCCGUGCAAACUGCACAGAUGCCACAGCCAGAGCGCUGGCCCCCUGUUGGCAUGCAGCUGGGAGAAGAGAAGCCUCUCCUGGUAUUUCAGGUAAUAACUUGAAAGAAUGAGAAGGUAAGGGGCUCAGAUACUGGCACUGCCACUGGAUGGGCUGGAGGAGUGAAGAUCAAAAGGUCUUUUUCAGGAAAUCAGGAGGUACAGGCUUGGUAGAGAAGCCACCACCGAUAAUGCCACACCCACAGCACCGAAGCACGAGGUUCAGAAGGAUCCUCAUUGAUCCUGGGCACCACGUUGGUGUCACAAUCCCAGAUUGCUGUCCAAUGAGAUCUUCCUAAUACUAGUGCUAGAAAACAAGUGUAUAUUACUUAUUUGAUUAAACUGUAUACAUAUAUACAAUAAAGUUUUAAAAUUUUCUCAAUGAAUCAUAUUGUUCAUGAAUUGCCAAGCUAGUAAGAGGAAGAUUACUAACCAAAACCUCUACUAGCAAAAGCACUGCGAUUAGAGCACAGUCUCUCCUAUUUAAAAAAUAUACAUAUAUAAACAUAUAUGUAAAUAUAAUUUAUUAUAUUUUUU